GUUGUACCAUGUGUGGAUUUCCAUUAUUUUAUUGACCAAGCUUCUGAUGGGCCUUGUCACGUUGGGCCCUGAACCAAUUCCUGACCAUCACUCUAAAUCUAGUUUUGCACCCCCAAUCUGCAUUGAAUUUCCAUUGGCCUAACACCUAGGGCCCAAGCACAUUCUGCUUUGCAUACCUUGUAUAGGGCCUGUACCCCCAUGUUUAAGCCCAUUUUUAUUAAUCUUGUUGUUAAUUAUUUUUUAGCUUUUAAUUAGGCCAAUUAGGGGAUUUUAAUUAGGAUUAACUUGAUUAGAAUUUUAGAAUUCAAUUAGAGUUAAGAUUUUAAUUGUGUUGGAAUUAUUUGUUUAGUUUGAAAAUUAGGUAAUAAGGAUAAUUGAUCUUAAUUAGAUUUUAACUUUAGAACUAACUUUCUAAUUGAAUAUCCAUAUGAAUUGACUCUUUUAACCCUAAGGUUUAGUCAUAGAAAUUCAUGAUCCCUUAGAGUAAGGUUUGAUUGAGAUUAAUUGAUCUUUUAAUCAUUGUUUUUCAUGUGAUAUUUACUAUUUGUUGUUUAGUUUGAUCUUAACACUUGCAUGAUCCAUUAGCUUAGGGUUUGUGAAUAUCAUUUGACCUUUAGAUUAGGUUGUAGAUAAUUGACCAUUAAAUCAAUCCCUUCGAUUUAAGUUGAUCAAAAGAAAUUUUGAUUAACUAAAUCCUUUGAUUUGUGUAUAACCCCUCAGUCUAUUCAAGUGAUCUAAAGUCCUUUGAUCACUUGAUAGGACUAGUUCCUGCAAUGUUGUAGAUCUCAAGGCCUCAAGUUCAAACUUUCAACCAAGGCAUCCCAGACAAAUCAAGUAGUGGAUUAUACAAGACACAUUAAAGGUGUUUUUGUAAGAGUUUAUCAACCAUGAUUCAAGUUGUAUGUCAUGAGCCUUAAGUAAAAAAGAAUGAUGAGAGUGGAGAAUUCCAAUCCUUGUCUAAGGUAUCCUUGGGUAUGAGACGAAUAACCCAGUUGCUCAAGGUAUUUGCCUUUGUUCAUAGAUUUUAGUGUAAUUUGAAUUAAAUGAUAAAUAAAGUCUUCAUCAUCACAAGGAGCAACAAGGAUUCUUCUUCAGCAACUUGAAAGUUAUGAUGAGAAUCACAUGCGAUGGGCCUUAAGUAGUAAAGAAUGAAUGAGAGUGGAGAAUUCUAUUAACUUAUUCUAAAUAUCUUUGGGUACGGGACGAAUGACCCAGUUACUCAUCGUAUUCACCUUUACUUAUAAACUUUAGUGUGGUUCAUAUCAAAUGACUGCCAAGUUUUCUUCAUCUUGCAUUAUCAUAUAUCAUUUCUCUUGCCUCAGUCUCUUGAUGUCUUUGUUCCAUUCGCAGUGUGUUGAACUACGAAAGCUCUGACUUUCUCAUUGCACGGUGAGAAUACGUAUGCACAAGGAUUCAGAUUCUCCGCGAGCUACCCUAUUUAUUAAUCCUACCUUAUUUAUUAAUCCUACCCCAUUCAAUGAUUCUUAAUUCUUCACCAAUCAAUGCCAUCUUUUUGAGAUCUAAUAUAUUUCCCUUUGAUUCCAUGCACAUCCUUUUAUGAUGAUUUAAUUGGAGUCCACCUUGUGAACUAAAAGAUGUUUUUUUUAAUGUCAAACACUUUAUUCCUUAUUUUUUGGACAAUACACUUGUUUACUCUUUGGUUCAGAGUUCAUUCCUUCAUGGAUCCAAUGUACCAUUCUUUGGUUUCAAAUUGGUUGUUCCCUAUAAUGAUAUAUUAUUCCUUGUACCAGACAACACUUUCUUGUGGGUCCCAUACAAAUCCUUUAAGGACGAAAUAGUCAGAGUCAACCUUGUAAACCACAAUUGAUGGUGUCUGUUUGAGAUCAAACAUAAGUUAGAAUGAAGAGCAAUGUGUAACCGAAGAUUUUUUUAGGAAAAAACUUCAUCCCCCAGCAGUCUCCCCUUCAACUAGUGUAAAUGUGAUUGGAAGAUGUUGUUGUUGUCAUCUUGUGCCAUUGCCAUCAGUAGCGUUCCUUUAUAUUUCCCGUACAACCAUGUACCAUCAAUUUGUAUAAUAGGUUUACAGAAAGCAAAACCUUUGAUGCAUGGUUGUCAGUAAUAGAUACUCAAACAAACAAAAUCUCGCUAUUGAUCAUGGGUGAUGAACAUCGAGGAACAAUCAAUAAUAUUGCAACAUUUGUAAGUUAUUACUUAUUCUCAAUUGUUUAUUACUUAUUCUUAAUUAUUUAUUAUUUCCUAACAAAGUGUCUAUUGUUUAUUACUUAUUUUUACUUAUUUCUUAAUUAUCUUUUGUUAGGACCCAAAGAGAUUUCGAUGUCGUUUACAUGAAUAUGUACCACACAACCCUUUGAUAGAACCGUAUCUACGAGCAUGCAGUUUUUGUAAUCUACUCAACAUAGUCUCAUACUCAGUUGAUUACAAAUUUAUUCUUGAUUUGGUAGAAAGAUGGAGACCUGAGACCCACACAUUUCACCUUCCUUUGGGUGAGUGUACCGUCACACUUGAGGUCAUUUGCAUGUUGUUAGGUUUACCUAUCGAUUGUAAGACCAUAAAUGGUAGAGUUAACCAAGGUAACUCUAUAUGCGAUGAAUGAUUGAGGGCCCCUUUGUGUGAAGACACUACUACGUGAUAGACUUCAGGUCAACUUAGGGGUCAAGGUAUUAAUUUAAAAUAUCUUAAACAAUAUUAUUCAAGUAUAACAUUAAACGAAGAAUCUACUAAGUAUGAAAAGAUAAUUAAAGCUCGUUGUUAUAUUAAGGUUUUAUUUGGUAAUUUUUUAUUUCAUGAAAGUACUGGUAAUGCGGUAAAUAUUAUGUAUUUGCUAUUGUUACGAAACAUAAAUAAAGUAGGUAAAUAUAAUUGAGGUUUAGCUGUUUUGUCCCAUCUAUAUAGUUCGUUGUGUAAAAAUGGCCACAAAAAAAAUACUUAUGCAUUUUAUUCUUACGUCUAUUUGCUACAAGCAUGAGAUUGGUCAAGAAUGUCGUCAAUCACUCCAGUCAACGAGAAGCCAUUCACAUUCCCAUAUGCAACAAAGUGGUCAGUUAAGGGGAUGAACUACAAUAGAUAUCCCAAACACGUUGUAGUAGUCUAUCGCAAUCUUUUAGACCACAUUGGACCAGACACUUUUAUCUGGAGGUUGUAUAUGGUAUUGACCAUUAGGUUAACCAUGAUAAUGCUGCAGUUUAGAUAGCAAAAACACCAAUAAUUCGGUUCACUAUCAUGGAGAUGAACUAGAGUGAUCGUGUGAAACUACAGUUUGACAUGCAACAACAAAUUCCAGAACCUACGACGUGUUUGGGAGAUUGACAUCAACAAAGACCCAAUCAACGACCACAAACCACCUAACCAUAACGACCUAACUACGACAACAUGAGCCCCGAACUCAAUUACGGCAGCGCCGUUGGCGACAACCUCUGGCUAUUGAGGAGAAAUGAUGACAAAUUUAUCAAAUACCGUUGGACCUUCCACCGAACCUUCACACUGGUCACCAUUGGAUUAUGUCAGCACUCAAAGACCCCAAACACCUCAGAGAAAUCGUGGGAGACCUCGAAGGCAGACUAAUGCACCGGGAUGUGGAACAGGGGGCGAUUCAAUUGGGCAGAUCAUUAUU